rnacentral:rRNA from 1 species
GACGAACGCUGGCGGCGUGCUUAACACAUGCAAGUCGAACGGCAAGGCCCUGCUUUUGUGGGGUGAUCGAGUGGCGAACGGGUGAGUAACACGUGAGUAACCUGCUCUUGACUUUGGGAUAACUUAAGGAAACUGGGGCUAAUACCGGAUAGGAGCUCCUGCUGCAUGGUGGGGGUUGGAAAGUUUCGGCUGUUGGGGAUGGACUCGCGGCUUAUCAGCUUGUUGGUGGGGUAGUGGCUUACCAAGGCUGUGGCGGAUAGCCGGCCUGAGAGGGUGACCGGCCACAUUGGUACUGAGGUACGGCCCAGACUCCUACGGGAGGCAGCAGGGGGGAAUAUUGCACAAUGGGCGGAAGCCGGUUGCGGCAACGCCGCGUUCGUGAUGCCGGCCUUCGGGUUGUAAACCGCUUUCGCCUGUGACGAAGCGUGUGUGACGGUAAUGGGUAAAGAAGCACCGGCUAACUACGUG